GGAUAGCUCAGUCUGUAGAGCACAAGACUCUUAAUCUCAGGGUUGUGGGUUUGAGCCCCAUGUUGGGCA
rnacentral:tRNA from 1 species